UUGUGUGUUGGGUGUCGUCGAGAAUCGGCAGCCCUACUACCUCCAUCACCAAUCUGCCUGCUUGUUUCCGGUCAUCCUUGCAUCAGGCCGACGAAGGUGGGUUUACUUAAUUGCCUUUCCCCCAAAGCUCUUUGCCGCCUCAAUUAAGCUUCUUAAGGCGAGUCGCUCUUUCUUUCUCACGUUUUUCUUUUUGCCACUCUUUCUUCUCAUCCGUUUUCUUUCUUCUUGAGAAUGAACCGCCCUCCUUUCCGACCAAUAGAAAGAGUGAAAGACUGGACACGGUGAUUUUAUGGUAUAUGGCGGUGAGCAACACCUGUGACGUAUGAUUACCAUCAGCGAGGUCUUUCAUCGACUUCACGUACUCCCCCAAUCGGAAGGCUGUCGGGCGGCCUCUUUUAACGUAUCCGGUGCACAGCACCUUGGCUGCCUACUUGCCUCUUCUGGUUUGUUUCCCCCAAAGCUGACGGAUUUUGGUCCAAUUGAAGUGAGCGGCUUAUUUUUUGGUCCAAUCGAUUUUUCUUCUCCUCCUUAUUGGUGUAAGUAAUUGCCUCUAGGUCUCUUCUUCUUAACGCCAUACUAUAUUAUCUUCGUCUCGCUUUUCUUCUCCUUCUUCUCCAUGUGACCAAUUGAAGGUUCAGUUUAAUCUAAGAUAUGAUGUGAGACUUAAAGGAUUCACGACGUGAAUCGUUGGUUCUAGAAGAUAUGUACGCGGGUGAAUCGUAAGAUAUCAAAUCAUAAGAUACGACGUGAAAAAGAGCAGCUGACUUUGCAGUUGAGCUUGAGCCCUGAGGUAUAAUCACUCUUUCCUCCACCGUCUUGCCGGUGCUUUUUCUAUAUCAAGGGGACGAACAUCAUAUCUUAUGAUUUGAUAUGAGUGUCGGCCCCCACCUUGAAGCUCAUCUCCUCUAGGCUGCAUCGCUAGCCUACCUUUUGCCGCCUCAAUUGCAAUAAAGUUCUUGAACCUCUGUAAAUUGAUUUAUUUAGUUGUUCCUACCUCAAAUCGAAGCUACAAGAACUCUUGUUGCCGGCUUAGCCUAAAGAACAACAUCUACUUCCAUCAACGAAACAUAAAUCUAAAAUUGGUGCUUGUGAACGAUUUAAUCAAGCCCUAAGAAAACACAAGGAGGGCGGACGAUAUCAGAGAAAGAGCACAUAUUAUGAAUUUCAUGUACCAGUAGCAUUUUUUGCAGUCGCUCCUUGUUAAUAUUCUAUGCAUAUAUAAAAAAGUCAAAACGAUUGCAUAAUGUCAACUUUAAAAGCUGAAUGAAAACAACAAAACUAAAAUAAUAUUGUUAAUUGUCACCCAUUUACCAAA